rnacentral:rRNA from 1 species
UACAGAGGUCCCAAGCGUUGUUCGGAUUCACUGGGCGUAAAGGGUGCGUAGGUGGCGGGGCCAGUCUGACGUGAAAUCUCCGGGCUUAACCCGGAAAUGGCGUUGGAAACUACCUUGCUUGAGGGUUGGAGGGGGGACUGGAAUACUUGGGUAGCAGUGAAAUGCGUAGAUAUCAAGUGGAACACCAGUGGCGAAGGCGAGUCCCUGGACAACUCCUGACACUGAGGCACGAAAGCUAGGGGAGCAAACGGG